UAGGCGCCAGCGCUAGCCCUGCCCGAGGUCCAUGGGAGUUCGGUCCCUCCCACCCUGCGUGGCGGCUUGCGCACUUGCCGCGUUAAGGUGUGGCUGGAGGGUCAGCCUGCGGUGUGUGUCGGACGCAUCAGCAAUGAGGCCCUGACCCCUGCAGGCUGGGCGGCCUCCCCAGCGCCCUCCCCGAAACUGUUUCGUUAGGAUGGCCUGACUGACGUCUUCAACUGAGGUAACCAGCUGGUGUUAGCAGAACAAAUCCCUCCCCUUCUCUCCCUGAGGCCAUCCAUCCUGGCUGAGGAACCAGCUGGAGGGAGCCAAGAAAGAAGCCACGCAGAGCCUGGAGUGUGGUGCUGGAGAGGGUAGAGAAGUCAGCCAAAGCUGCGCCUUGCAGAACAUGGCCCACCUCUUCACGAGAGAGGAUGCUGCUGCUCCGGAACCGCACAAACUGGCCCAGGGAGAGAAGGCCCAAACAUGUAGUGAUUCGGCAUCUCCUUCAUUCACAGGUAUUUGCUGUGCCCUGCCGGGCUCAGCACUGGGCUGGGGGCAUGGAUCUGAAGCCCACAGAACUCUGCCUUCAAGAGCUCAGUGUUGGUAGGCAGGGGUGGGGUUGUGUCACAGGAGGGUGAGGUAAUGAGGAGGAUUGCAAGACCCUGAGAGUUUGCUCUGCUGACCCCUUCAGUCCCGCCACUCGUACCGUGCCCCUCACACUAGACUAUGUGUGGUUACCCAGACACACCACCACAUUCUCGUAUAUCUGCUGUUCUCACUUCAAUACUGUACCUGCAAUACUUUUCCUUCUCUUUGCCUAUUAAUCCUUCAAGCCUCAGCUAAAAUGUUACCUUCACUGCUGAAUGUUUUCAUUUUAUUUAAGAAAUACAGGCAUUAACUGGGUGCUUACUAUAUUCUUACUCACUUCUCCCUCACAGCUCUGGCAGAAGCAAUUACUCUUUCUCGGGUUCCUACACCAACCAUUGAUUUAUUCAUUGAUCCACUUUACUAUCAUUCACAGGCUUGCUGCCUUGUUUUUUCAGUGGGCACUUACCAUGUUCUAGGCACUUAGCAUUAUCUUCUACUCUUCCAUUAAUAACCAUAUUUUAACUAUGAAUUUCCUUGUCUAUCUCCUUCUCUAGACUGAGGGACCUUUAAGGAAGAACAUUUGGCUCACUGACAUCUUUGGUACCUAGCACAGGAUCUGGCAGGUGGUGGGCAGGCCUGGUCAAUGUUUCAUGAGUGAAUGAGAAAAAAUGUCUGGGUAGUCUGGGCAAAGGAGAUGUGGGCAUUCAGAGGAAUUCUCUAGGCAGGCUUCUUGUAGGGUGAAGGCUCAUCCAGCCCCUCUACCUUCUUGGAGGAUGGCAUUCUUCAGACCACAGGACCAUCCUUUCUGCACUUACCAGGGUCAUGAGCCUCAAGAUCUCAGCUCUGAGGAAGGAAUUCUCUCCAGCAUCCAGGAGGGUAAAUAGCAAAAACCGAUUCCAGGGCUGGGAGGCCACAUGGAGUGCUAUGGGAAACACCAGUCAACCGUGUGUUAUUAAUGCUGCUUUUCCAAAGGCCUUGGAACAUUGCUAAAGAAAACUUUCUCCUAUUGGCUCAAAAAAGGGUUGCUCAGCAAAGGCAGGGCAUUGGACAAGCUGACCCCGGGGCGUUUCUUUCUCCUGGGCUUCUAUCCACCCAUGCUGCCUGGCACAGGGAGACCACAUAUCCCACUAUUGUGGGAGGCAGGCAACAGGAAGAGCUCUGCCACUUAAGAGCUAUGGGACCUUGGUUGGGGCAAGUUGCUUAACCUCCCUGAACCUCGGUGUCCUCAUCUGUAUGAUGGGCAUGGCAGUGCCCUUGCAGUAUUGUUAAAAGAAUUAAACAAAAUGAGUGUGAAUCAGGGAGCUCCCUGGUGGCCUAAUGGUUAGGAUUCUGGGCUUUCACUGCCAUGGCCUGGGUUCAAUCCCUGGUUGGGGAACUGAGAUCCUGCAAGCCACAUGGCUCGGCCAAAAAAAAUGAGUGUGAAUCACAGAACAGAGGAUGGGAGUCUGGGGUGGGAGGGUGGCAGGUGCUGGCCCCGUCCAAUCUCCCCCAUGGGAACAUCAGAGAAUGGGGAGGGUUUCUACCGACGUCUGGACUCCGGGCAUGCAGGUAGUCAAGCAAGGCCUCCAGGCAGCCGACACAGGCGUGGGACAACAGAGGGUCCUUCUGCAAGAAAACAACAAAAACAAAAACCCCACAGAAGUUUACGUCCGGUUUUGCUACCAGUGGAUUUUGGUGCCAACCAAGAAAAAAACAUUUGGUUUUCAAAACAAUUUAGAUUUCAGAAUUUCAGAUUUGGGAUUGUGGCUCUGUAGAUAAUCAAGAAAUGUUUGUUGGUUUCAUCUCUCACCCACACACACAAAGCACGGUGCUUAUACUGAUGAUUUACCUACAUCUGAGAGACUGUUUUGCUUCAGAAAAGGAUGCGCCCUGGGCCCCGUUAAGAGAUUCACAGAUUACAGAUUCUGUAAGAGCCACACAGUUUAUCUAAGCCAAUGCAUGUAAAUCUUUUUGUAAAGCAGCAGAACCUUUCAUCAAACAAAAUUUUAUGCUCUAAUAAGCAUAAGAAAAGAACUUAGGGUUAGGGAGAUGCAAAUUAAAACCACCUUGAGAUACCACUACACACUCAUCAACAGCUAAAACUGACAGUACCAAGUGUUGGCAAGAAUGUGAAGCAACUGGAACUCUCAUGCACUCCUGAUGGGAAGGAAAAAUGGUGCAGCCACUGAUGGCAGUCUG